AGAGUUUGAUCAUGGCUCAGGAUGAACGCUAGCGACAGGCCUAACACAUGCAAGUCGAGGGGUAUUGGGUCUUCGGACCCGAGAGACCGGCGCACGGGUGCGUAACGCGUAUGUAACCUGCCUUACACCGGGGGAUAGCCUUCCGAAAGGGAGAUUAAUACCGCAUAAUAUUAUAUAGCCACCUGGUUGUAUAAUUAAAACUUCGGUGGUGUAAGAUGGACAUGCGUAUGAUUAGCUAGUUGGCGGGUAACGGCCACCAAGGCGACGAUCAUUAGGGGUUCUGAGAGGAAGGUCCCCCACACUGGUACUGAGACACGGACCAGACUCCUACGGGAGGCAGCAGUGAGGAAUAUUGGUCAAUGGACGGAAGUCUGAACCAGCCAUGUCGCGUGCAGGAUGACUGCCCUAUGGGUUGUAAACUGCUUUUGUAUGGGAAGAAAGUGGGGUACGUGUACGCCUUUGCCGGUACCAUACGAAUAAGGAUCGGCUAACUCCGUGCCAGCAGCUGC
rnacentral:rRNA from 1 species